rnacentral:SRP_RNA from 1 species
GGCUGGGUCUCGUGCAGCGGGAGCCUGCGAACCCCGUCAGAUCCGGAAGGAAGCAGCGGUAUGCGGAUCUUCCCGGGUGCCGCGAGGGUGCCUGGCCGGC